UACGUAGGGUGCGAGCGUUGUCCGGAAUUACUGGGCGUAAAGAGCUCGUAGGUGGUUUGUCGCGUUGUUCGUGAAAUCUCACGGCUUAACUGUGAGCGUGCGGGCGAUACGGGCAGACUAGAGUACUGCAGGGGAGACUGGAAUUCCUGGUGUAGCGGUGGAAUGCGCAGAUAUCAGGAGGAACACCGGUGGCGAAGGCGGGUCUCUGGGCAGUAACUGACGCUGAGGAGCGAAAGCGUGGGGAGCGAACAGGAUUAGAUACCCUGGUAGUCCACGCCGUAAACGGUGGGUACUAGGUGUGGGUUUCCUUCCCUUGGGAUCCGUGCCGUAGCUAACGCAUUAAGUACCCCGCCUGGG
rnacentral:rRNA from 1 species